rnacentral:sRNA from 1 species
CGACAGCCGCUGCUUCCUGGCUGGGAACAACUUCAGUCCAACUGUCCACCUAGAACUUCCCUUAAGAGUCAUCCAGCUCCUGCUCAGUGGAGAGGAAAAUGCCUCCAUGGCAGAGGUCAACGCCUCGGUGGCAUACAGACUGGGGACCCUGGACAUGCGGGCCUUUCUCCGCAACAGCGAAGUGAAACGAAUUGAUUCCCCAGCACCGGCCUCGGGAAGCCCCAUUCAACAGUGGAUGGUCAUCUCGGAGUUCCAGUACCGUCCUCGGGGCCCCGUCAUCGACUUCCUGAACAACCAGCUGCUGGCCGCGGUGGUGGAGGCGUUCUUAUACCACGUUCCAUGGAGGAGUGAGGAGCCCAGGAACGACGUGGUCUUCCAGCCCAUCUCCAGGGAAGACGUGCGCGAUGUGACAGCCCGUGAGUCCGUCCAUUCCGGGGACACUAUGGGGGUCACUGCGGGGGCGGGUAAACAGAGGUGCUUCAGCCCACACAAACAAGCUAAUUGAGUUUUUCUGUUUGUUUGGUUUUGAGCGAAAACGUGAACAUUUUAUCCAGCCGCUUGUUAGAUUCAAGAGCAGGAGCAGCCAGCGCUGCUAAGGCAGUCACACGUACACAGCUUCACGGAGCAAGUACCCAGCCAGGGCCUUGCUUACUAUGGCUGCUAAUAAAACAGCAGCAAUUUAUUUUCAUAAAAUUGC